AACAACUUGGACUGAAAUGAAUGCAAGGGAAGGUAGAGAUAAGAUUUAAUAAAGUGGUCUUCCCAUGUCGUUUAACGAGGUUCCUUUUGAAAAAGGGUAGAGCGAGAAAAGGUUUCUUCUGCAAAUUCAUAGAAGCGCGUGCAUGUGUAGAAGAUUGCUGAUGCAAAGGGGUAUCAUGAUCUCAAGCCUUCAAAUGAGUCUGUGCCUUCUUCAUGCUUUGCCCAGAUUCGUAACCAUCAACCCUGAUUAAACAGGUUAGACUACUCAAUCUCCAUCUACUCAAUCGAAGCUAGCAUUAUAUUAGUGCCAGUCCGCUCACUGCUUUAUGUGGCGGCUUUGACAAAGCAUAAUGCAGCCAUUUCGCUAAAGUAGUUGAAGAAAGUACUAAUCGCUUGAGCAAACUAGUGAAGCUGUAUUGCGUUUCCAUCUGAGAGGAAAAGUAGUGUGAUGGAUUAAAUGAUCUUUUUGUGAACAGUCUUUCUACUGUUUUAUUUGAUUAUCUACCACUAGGGGCAAUGCAACUAAACUUUUAUAAUGAA